rnacentral:rRNA from 1 species
UAAGGAAUAUUGGUCAAUGGACGCAAGUCUGAACCAGCCAUGCCGCGUGGAGGAUGAAGGUCCUCUGGAUUGUAAACUUCUUUCAUCUGGGACGAAAACGGGAUUUUUAUCUCAAUUGACGGUACCAGAGGAAUAAGCACCGGCUAACUCCGUGCCAGCAGCCGCGGUAAUACGGAUGGUGCGAGCGUUAUCCGGAUUUACUGGGUUUAAAGGGUGCGUAGGUGGGCUUAUAAGUCAGUGGUGAAAUCUCCGAGCUUAACUUGGAAACUGCCGUUGAUACUAUAGGUCUUGAAUUAUCUGGAGGGAAGCGGAAUAUGUCAUGUGGCGGUGAAAUGCUUAGAUAUGACAUAGAACACCAAUUGCGAAGGCAGCUUACUACAUAUAAAUUGACGCUGAGGCACGAAAGCGUGG